GAUGAACGCUUUCUUCUUUCCUAAUACAUUCAAGUCGAGCGAACAGACGAGGAGCUUGCUCCUCUGACGUUAGCGGCGGACGGGUGAGUAACACGUGGAUAACCUACCUAUAAGACUGGGAUAACUUCGGGAAACCGGAGCUAAUACCGGAUAAUAUAUUGAACCGCAUGGUUCAAUAGUGAAAGACGGUUUUGCUGUCACUUAUAGAUGGAUCCGCGCCGCAUUAGCUAGUUGGUAAGGUAACGGCUUACCAAGGCAACGAUGCGUAGCCGACCUGAGAGGGUGAUAGGCCACACUGGAACUGAGACACGGUCCAGACUCCUACGGGAGGCAGCAGUAGGGAAUCUUCCGCAAUGGGCGAAAGCCUGACGGAGCAACGCCGCGUGAGUGAUGAAGGUCUUCGGAUCGUAAAAAUCUGUUAUUAGGGAAGAACAAAUGUGUAAGUAACUAUGCACGUCUUGACGGUACCUAAUCAGAAAGCCAAGGCUAACUACGGG
rnacentral:rRNA from 1 species